rnacentral:tRNA from 1 species
GUGGCUGUAGCUCAGUUGGUAGAGUACAGGAUUGUGAUUCCUGUUGUCGCGGGUUCGAUCCCCGUCAGCCACCCCA